rnacentral:tRNA from 1 species
GGGGUUGUGGCUUAGUGGAAAAGCCUCUGCUUUACACGCACAAGAUCCCAGGUUCAGGCCUCAGCAUCUCCG